CUACACCUUCGGUUCGGGGACCAGGUUAACGGUUGUAGCGGAACCCAGCUCUCUGUCUUGGAGGACCUGAACAAGGUGUUCCCACCCGAGGUCGCUGUGUUUGAGCCAUCAGAAGCAGAGAUCUCCCACACCCAAAAAGCCACACUGGUGUGCCUGGCCACAGGCUUCUACCCCGACCACGUGGAGCUGAGCUGGUGGGUGAACGGGAAGGAGGUGCACAGUGGGGUCAGCACGGACCCGCAGCCCCUCAAGGAGCAGCCCGCCCUCAAUGACUCCAGAUACUGCCUGAGCAGCCGCCUGAGGGUCUCGGCCACCUUCUGGCAGAACCCCCGCAACCACUUCCGCUGUCAAGUCCAGUUCUACGGGCUCUCGGAGAAUGACGAGUGGACCCAGGAUAGGGCCAAACCCGUCACCCAGAUCGUCAGCGCCGAGGCCUGGGGUAGAGCAGACUGUGGCUUUACCUCGGUGUCCUACCAGCAAGGGGUCCUGUCUGCCACCAUCCUCUAUGAGAUCCUGCUAGGGAAGGCCACCCUGUAUGCUGUGCUGGUCAGCGCCCUUGUGUUGAUGGCCAUGGUCAAGAGAAAGGAUUUCUGAAGGCAGCCCUGGAAGUGGAGUUAGGAGCUUCUAACCCGUCAUGGUUUCAAUACACAUUCUUCUUUUGCCAGCGCUUCUGAAGAGCUGCUCUCACCUGUCUGCAUCCCAAUAGAUAUCCCCCUAUGUGCAUGCACACCUGCACACUCACGGCUGAAAUCUCCCUAACCCAGGGGGACCUUAGCAUGCCUAAGUGACUAAACCAAUAAAAAUGUUCUGGUCUGGCCUGA